ACCAUACUCAGCCUGUAAGCGAUCACGCAAUUGUUUUGGCAACGGAAGAGAAGGGUUUUUGGCAUAGGAGUAGAAAUAAAGUGGGAACGAUCUACCAAGUUUUUCAAAAUCGUCGGAAUAGGUGUUCACAAAUUGCAAGGCAGCAUCUAACUGCCCUGACCUCAUUAGAUAGAACAAGACAACCCACAAAGGAACAUCAUUGACCACUGAUACGGUAGACUUAAUCCAUGACCCGUUUUUGUAGAAUCGAAGCUUACUGUAAGCGAUCACUUUCUCCACAGAAUUGACAGUAGUAAUAUGACCAG